rnacentral:rRNA from 1 species
GAUAAUUGACUUGUGGCAGCCAAGUGUUCACAGCAGCAUCAUUUUUUGAUCUUUCAAUAUCAACUCUUCAUAUCCUUGUGAAACAGAAUUUGCAAAGCAUUGAAUUGUUCACUACAAAAUUUUUCUCAACUGAAUAUAAGAUGCA